rnacentral:tRNA from 1 species
GGACCCGUAGCUCAGCUGGAUAGAGCACUAGACUACGAAUCUAGGGGUCGGGCGUUCGAAUCGCUCCGGGUCCG